UAGGGAAUCUUCCGCAAUGGGCGAAAGCUUGACGGAGCAACGCCGCGUGAGUGAUGAAGGUCUUCGGAUCGUAAAACUCUGUUAUUAGGGAAGAACAAAUGUGUAAGUAACUAUGCACGUCUUGACGGUACCUAAUCAGAAAGCCACGGCUAACUACGUGCCAGCAGCCGCGGUAAUACGUAGGUGGCAAGCGUUAUCCGGAAUUAUUGGGUGUAAAGCGCGCGUAGGCGGUUUUUUAAGUCUGAUGUGAAAGCCCACGGCUCAACCGUGGAGGGUCAUUGGAAACUGGAAAACUUGAGUGCAGAAGAGGAAAGUGGAAUUCCAUGUGUAGCGGUGAAAUGCGCAGAGAUAUGGAGGAACACCAGUGGCGAAGGCGACUUUCUGGUCUGUAACUGACGCUGAUGUGCGAAAGCGUGGGGAUCAAACAGG
rnacentral:rRNA from 2 species